rnacentral:rRNA from 1 species
GAUGAACGCUAGCUACAGGCUUAACACAUGCAAGUCGCGGGGCAUCAUGACGAUAGCUUGCUAUUGUUGAUGGCGACCGGCGCACGGGUGAGUAACGCGUAUCCAACCUCGCCCCCAAGUAGGGCACAGCCCGGCGAAAGUCGGAUUAAUUCCCUAUGUGGUCAUGUUAUGGCAUCAGUAUAUGACUAAAGGCCUUUGGUUGCUUGGGGUUGGGGAUGCGUAGGAUUAGCUUGACGGCGGGUUGACAGCCCACCGUGGCGACGAUCCUUAGGGGUUCUGAGAGGAAGGUCCCCCACACUGGUACUGAGACACGGACCAGACUCC